UGGGGAAUAUUGGACAAUGGGCGCAAGCCUGAUCCAGCCAUGCCGCGUGAGUGAUGAAGGCCCUAGGGUUGUAAAGCUCUUUUGUGCGGGAAGAUAAUGACGGUACCGCAAGAAUAAGCCCCGGCUAACUUCGUGCCAGCAGCCGCGGUAAUACGAAGGGGGCUGGCGUUGCUCGGAAUCACUGGGCGUAAAGGGUGCGUAGGCGGGUCUUUAAGUCAGGGGUGAAAUCCUGGAGCUCAACUCCAGAACUGCCUUUGAUACUGAGGAUCUUGAGUUCGGGAGAGGUGAGUGGAACUGCGAGUGUAGAGGUGAAAUUCGUAGAUAUUCGCAAGAACACCAGUGGCGAAGGCGGCUCACUGGCCCGAUACUGACGCUGAGGCACGAAAGCGUGGGGAGCAAACA
rnacentral:rRNA from 1 species